GACGAACGCUGGCGGUGUGCUUAACACAUGCAAGUCGAACGGUCAGGCCCUUUCGGGGGUACACGAGUGGUGAACGGGUGCGUAACAUGUGAGUAACCUGCCCUCAUCUCUGGGAUAACAGUCGGAAACGGUUGCUAAUACUGGAUAUGAGCUUGCAUUGCAUCUUGUUGGUUGGAAAGAUUUUUUUGGUUUGGAAUGGACUCGCGGCCUAUCAGCUUGUUGGUGAGGUAGUGGCUCACCAAGGCUUCGACGGGUAGCCGGCCUGAGAGGGCGACAGGCCACAUUGGGACUGAGAGAAGGCCCAAACUCCUACGGGAGGCAGCAGUGGGGAAUAUUGCACAAUGGACGGAAGUCUGAUGCAGCAACGCCGCGUGCGGGAUGACGGCCUUCGGGUUGUAAACCGCAUGCAAUAGUGACGAAGCUUUUUGUGACGGUAGCAGUAGAAGAAGCACCGGCUAACUACGUG
rnacentral:rRNA from 1 species